CACAAUAAACAUAUGAAGGCUGCACCGCCAACAGGCGGCAAGGCUGGAGUAUUUUAUUACCCUUGUCUUUUGCGCACUUGUUGCUUCCUGGGCGGGUUCGCCCGCCUCCAGGACCACAUGAUAAACCUUUUUUAUGCAGUUGCAAUCAGCGUCAGUACAACAAAUGUAAAUCAUUUA
rnacentral:misc_RNA from 1 species